UACGUAGGGGGCAAGCGUUGUCCGGAUUUAUUGGGCGUAAAGGGCGCGUAGGCGGUUUCUUAAGUUUGAAGUGACGGUGGGUGGCUUAACUACCCAAGGCCUUUGAAAACUGGGGAACUUGAGGACCAGAGAGGGACAUAGAAUUCCGGGUGGAGUGGUGAAAUGCGUAGAUAUCCGGAGGAAUACCAAAGGCGAAGGCAGUGUCCUGGAGGGUUAACUGACGCUGAGGCGCGAAAGCUAGGGGAGCGAACAGG
rnacentral:rRNA from 1 species